UAAAUUUUUGUAUACUAUAUUUAUAAUAAUACUUACUCUAUUUUAAGGGCGGAGAGCAACGAAACAGAAAUUAAAAACGCAAUAGCAAACUGCUUGACAUACGAAUCUUCUCCAAAAUCUUUUGUUGGAUUACACGAAAUAGUGACUAACAUCCAAAUUUCAGAGUUGACGAAAAAUCUGCAACUGAAUGAGAAAAAAUAUUUUUGGAUUGAGGCGGCAAUAAAAAUAACUGACACUCUCCAGAAUUUUUAUUACAUGUCAUGUGACGCAUGUCAUAAAAAAAUAGAUUUAUACAAUCGCGAUGAAAAAAUCAUAUGUGACAAGCCAACAUGCGGCCAAGAAGGAUUUCCUACACCACGUGCUAUAGCAUAUGUUGAACUUGAUGACAAUACAAAGAGCCUAUCUGCUAUCAUGUUCGCAGAUAUUGUCGAAAAAAUAUUCUCGUGUAAUGCUGCCCAACUAAUGAACUAUACUGCAGAGGUGUAGUUUUUAAAAAAUUAAAUAGUUUUACAUGCCUUUCAUAAGUUGAUUUUUUAAUUAAAUAAAUUAUGCACAUCAUGACUAAUCAUCUUAAAUGAAAAUACAUCACUGUUUGCAGGAACACCGCCGCUUUGUCGACACUACCAUAAUCAAUUUAUCAAAGAAAAAAUAGAUAAUCCAGAUAUAUGCGGACCCGACUAGAAUGAAAAGUGCAAAAUACAAAAAUUACACUAUUGUCUCUAUCAAAGAAAAUGAAGAUUGAAAUCCACCAAUGACUAUCAUUAGUUUUCUUAUCUACAAUUUUAAGACUAAUGCUAUCUUCAAUUAUCAACAAUUUAGAGA